ensembl:lncRNA
UGCCGUGAAUAACAUAUUAAUGUGCUCUAUGUGCUCCCUAAUGCCAUGAGGCUACACUCCAUAAUGCCAUGAUGCUACACUCCCUAAUGCCAUGAGGCUACACUCCCUAAUGCCAUGAGGCUACACUCCUUAAUGCCAUGAGGCUACACUCCAUAAUGCCAUGAGGCUACACUCCCUAAUGCCAUGAGGCUACACUCCAUAAUGCCAUGAGGCUACACUCCAUAAUGCCAUGAGGCUACACUCCCUAAUGCCAUGAGGCUACACUCCCUAAUGCCAUGAGGCUACACUCCAUAAGGCUACACUCCAUAAUGCCAUGAUGCUACACUCCCUAAUGCCAUGAGGCUACACUCCCCAAUGCCAUGAGGCUACACUCCCUAAUGCCAUGAGGCUACACUCCCUAAUACCAUGAGGCUACACUC